rnacentral:lncRNA from 1 species
UAGAACUUCUUGACCCAUUUGGCAAAUAGAAAAGAAAACUUUGAAAACAAGGCAUUCUUUAGUUAAAUUCCUUUGCUGAAGUCACAUAUUUGAAGCAAGGAAGUAGUCCAAAAGCCACUUUACACAUUAGCAAUAGACAUACAUCUCUGACUACAAAUGCGAUAAAAUUGCAUUACUUUCUUAGCAUCCUUCUGGAUGUACCCUGCGACAAUUGAUUAUCUGCUAAAUAUAAUUCAUGGUCUACAUCUAUAGGAGGAAAGAAACAUUCCCUUCCAGUUGCUAUCAUAUCAUCCAAGUGUUUUGAGUCUAGAAACCAUCUUAUGCCCGUUCAGCCUGACCUGCGCCCAAAGAUACCCAACCGAACCAUUUCGAGCCUGAAGUUUGGACCCUCAUCUGAUCCACGUAUCCAAUAGGCAAGUUGCAGAAAUUAACAACCCUAGGGAUUGGAUUUGUCAAACUCUGGAUUUUUGCACCAUUCUAAGUUAAAGCACAGCCUAAGUUAAGAUGAGCCUGAUUUAGUCAAAAAUGAGCAGAAUCCAUAAUGCUCAGAUUUGUACGGAGACUCAGAGAACCAAGUCGUUCCAAGCAUAAAUCUAAUUUUAAUGGGUCCAUAUUUUGUGUUCAAUUGGAUUUCGUCUAAUUAAGAGCUAGGUCAGCUCUACAAAUUUGCGACCAUACCAACCAUAUUAAAUAUUCCAACCAUAUCAAAUUAGGAUGAAGCCAUGACCCGUACUUGUCAUGGCCUAUGAUUUUUUGACCG